rnacentral:miRNA from 1 species
UGGUCGACCAGUUGGAAAGUAA